AACGUAGGUUCCGAGCGUUAUCCGGAUUUACUGGGCGUAAAGCGCGUUCAGGCGGUUCGGCAAGUCGGGCAUGAAAUCUCUCGGCUCAACCGGGAGAGGUUGUCCGAUACUGCUGGACUUGAGGGCAGUAGAGGGUGGUGGAAUUCCGGGUGUAGUGGUGAAAUGCGUAGAUAUCCGGAGGAGCACCAGUGGCGAAAGCGGCCACCUGGACUGUACCUGACGCUCAAACGCGAAAGCUAGGGGAGCGAACGGG
rnacentral:rRNA from 1 species